rnacentral:rRNA from 1 species
AAGGUAACCGUUAGAGUUUGUAUCCUGGCUCAGGAUGAACGCCGGCGGUGUGCCUAAUACAUGCAAGUCGAACGCGUUGGCCCAAUUGAUUGAUGGUGCUUGCACCUGAUUGAUUUUGGUCGCCAACGAGUGGCGGACGGGUGAGUAACACGUAGGUAACCUGCCCAGAAGCGGGGGACAACAUUUGGAAACAGAUGCUAAUACCGCAUAACAACGUUGUUCGCAUGAACAACGCUUAAAAGAUGGCUUCUCGCUAUCACUUCUGGAUGGACCUGCGGUGCAUUAGCUUGUUGGUGGGGUAAUGGCCUACCAAGGCGAUGAUGCAUAGCCGAGUUGAGAGACUGAUCGGCCACAAUGGGACUGAGACACGGCCCAUACUCCUACGGGAGGCAGCAGUAGGGAAUCUUCCACAAUGGGCGCAAGCCUGAUGGAGCAACACCGCGUGAGUGAAGAAGGGUUUCGGCUCGUAAAGCUCUGUUGUUAAAGAAGAACACGUAUGAGAGUAACUGUUCAUACGUUGACGGUAUUUAACCAGAAAGUCACGGCUAACUACGUGCCAGCAGCCGCGGUAAUACGUAGGUGGCAAGCGUUAUCCGGAUUUAUUGGGCGUAAAGAGAGUGCAGGCGGUUUUCUAAGUCUGAUGUGAAAGCCUUCGGCUUAACCGGAGAAGUGCAUCGGAAACUGGAUAACUUGAGUGCAGAAGAGGGUAGUGGAACUCCAUGUGUAGCGGUGGAAUGCGUAGAUAUAUGGAAGAACACCAGUGGCGAAGGCGGCUACCUGGUCUGCAACUGACGCUGAGACUCGAAAGCAUGGGUAGCGAACAGGAUUAGAUACCCUGGUAGUCCAUGCCGUAAACGAUGAGUGCUAGGUGUUGGAGGGUUUCCGCCCUUCAGUGCCGCAGCUAACGCAUAAGCACUCCGCCUGGGGAGGCCCCU